UACGGAGGGUGCGACCGUUGCUCGGAAUCAUUGGGCGUAAAGCGCACGUAGGCGGCGGCGUAAGCGGGAUGUGAAAGCCCAGGGCUCAACCCUGGAAGUGCAUCCCGAACUGUGUCGCUUGAAUCUCGGAGGGGGACAGAGAAUUCCCGGUGUAGAGGUGAAAUUCGUAGAUAUCGGGAGGAAUACCAGUGGCGAAGGCGCUGUCCUGGACGAAGAUUGACGCUGAGGUGCGAAAGCGUGGGGAGCAAACAGG
rnacentral:rRNA from 1 species